UACGUAGGGUGCGAGCGUUGUCCGGAAUUACUGGGCGUAAAGAGCUCGUAGGCGGUUUGUCGCGUCGUCCGUGAAAAACUCGGGGCUCAACUCCGAGCUUGCAGUCGAUACGGGCAGGCUAGAGUUCGGCAGGGGAGACUGGAAUUCCUGGUGUAGCGGUGAAAUGCGCAGAUAUCAGGAGGAACACCGGUGGCGAAGGCGGGUCUCUGGGCCGAUACUGACACUGAGGAGCGAAAGCGUGGGGAGCGAACAGG
rnacentral:rRNA from 1 species